rnacentral:lncRNA from 1 species
GAGAGAGAGAGAGAGAGAGAGAGAGAGAGAGAGAGAGAGAGAGAGGGAGAGAGAGAGAGACAGAGACACAGACACAGACAGAGGCAGAAAGCCUGAGAGAAGGUGGACGGACCCAGCAGCCGCAGCCCGGCUCCUCCCGGACCGGGCACCCUGUCGACGGCCCCGACUCUCCGGGCCACCCCAGUUUGGAGGACUCUAACCUUGAUUUUCCAGCUUUGAGCUCCCUCUGGAAGCGGGCUGUCAGACUACUGAAAACCAUCUAGACCUUCAUCCACAGGCAGGUAAUCCACAAGUGAUGUUUUUUUCCCCCUGAGAGUACUGAUAUUAUGUAGUAAUCAUAACUAUAAAGUAUUUAUAUAAAGCAAAAUCUUGACUUGGACAAAGAAUUUGUCUUCCAGCCUGUAUGUC